rnacentral:rRNA from 1 species
UACGGGGGGGGCAAGCGUUGUUCGGAAUUACUGGGCGUAAAGGGCUCGUAGGUGGCCAACUAAGUCAGACGUGAAAUCCCUCAGCUUAACUGGGGAACUGCGUCUGAUACUGGAUGGCUUGAGAUUGGGAGAGGGAUGCGGAAUUCCAGGUGUAGCGGUGAAAUGCGUAGAUAUCUGGAGGAACACCGGUGGCGAAGGCGGCAUCCUGGACCAACACUGACACUGAGUGAGCGAAAGCCAGGGGAGCAAACGGG